GAUGAACGCUAGCUACAGGCUUAACACAUGCAAGUCGCGGGGCAGCAUGGGGGUUGCUUGCACUCCCUGAUGGCGACCGGCGCACGGGUGAGUAACGCGUAUCCAACCUGCCCUUCACCACGGGAUAACCCGGCGAAAGUCGGACUAAUACCGUAUGUUGUCCAUUGACGGCAUCCGAUUCGGACGAAAGGCUUAGCGGUGAGGGAUGGGGAUGCGUCCGAUUAGCUUGACGGCGGGGUAACGGGCCCCCGUGGCUACGAUCGGUAGGGGUUCUGAGAGGAAGGUCCCCCACACUGGAACUGAGACACGGUCCAGACUCCUACGGGAGGCAGCAGUGAGGAAUAUUGGUCAAUGGGCGUAAGCCUGAACCAGCCAAGUAGCGUGCAGGAUGACGGCCCUAUGGGUUGUAAACUGCUUUUAUGCGGGGAUAAAGGGAACCACGUGUGGGUUUUUGCAGGUACCGCAUGAAUAAGGACCGGCUAAUUCCGU
rnacentral:rRNA from 1 species